ACCGUGCAUCACUAGGGUGCAGAAGAGGAUAAAGGCCUUGCCUCCAAAAGAGGAAGUGAACAUGCAAAGUAACAACUGUAUUUCCUGGGGUGGGCUCAAUACUUUGAGAAUGCUGGCAAUCCAGAAUGAGGACACCCACAGAGCUCAGAAGUGAGGGGUGGGGAGCAGCACACAAGGGGCAGAUCCCUCAGAGGAUGCCUGAACUGAGUCUAAAAGGGUGAGAGGUAGGGCAGGGCUUUCUUUCAUGGAUAAGAGACCCCAGAAUCAACUUCAAAGAGAAGGAAGACUCGGGUUCAGACACUACUAUGCUGGCCAAAGGAAAAGCUCCAAUUUAGUCAUCCCUUAGCCUCCACCUGGGCAGACCAAUAAGCUUUGCCUGUAUCUUCACCAUUCCCAGCAUUUCCUGAGGCUCAGGAAGGGAAGCUGAACAAUUCAUUCGCUUAAUUUAUUUGUUAUUUAUAUAUGUCUUCUUUUAAAAAGCAAUCUAAUGUGGUUUCAUAAACAGGAUUCCUAUUAGCCAGUGAGUAGAGACUGGUCACAACACCCUAUAACCACACUUCCCCCAAAAUAACACUGAGAUUAGACACCCCCCCCCCCCCGCCUCAGAGAUUCCAAUGUAAGGUGCUGGCAACUGGAGAUCUUUCAGAAGGACUGGGGGCCCUGAGGACAUUCAGAUUUCCUCCACAUUGGACUUAACAGAAGAUUUUUCUCUUUGAGACCUAAGAAGAGUCCUUUUGGCUCAAAUCUACCCCACCAUCAAGGAAUGCAGGCAGAAGAAAAGAACCACAGCAUCUUCGGGGCUUAUGGUCUCCAGGUCCUGAACAAGGCAAUUUGAGGAGCUAACUCACAGCGCAGUCAUUUUGGAACCUGGAUAUAUGGUAACAGAGCAUAGCCUUACAUCUGGGAAUGUCCAUGCUGUUGGAUCCCAUAUAUACUGGCCCUUUUCACCUAGAUUCAGAAGGGUCCUACUCAAAGAGAGGAGCAGAACAGCUCUGAAGGCAUGUGCAGGCUCUUCUUCCCCAGGAAGGAACAGGAGGAAAGAAACACACCUCUCCAUUUGCUGGGAGUGUAUAGACCAUUCAGGUUAAAAGACUCUCUAAAAAUCUUCCAGUAACUCAUCAUCUCAUAUUGAGAAAAUCAAGACUAAUAAAUCACAACUUGGAAUCACA